AAUUGGACCAGAAAAGGAUAUUCAUUUAUUAAUCGAUAUAUUUAUACUAAUCCACAGGGAAGAGUGGACUGCAAUAGAAUUUCUCAAUUGCCUACAAUCCAGUUUAAUUUGGGUGCGAGGCCUUGAAUCUUACCGGUAAAGAUUACAUCAUUCGGGGUCCACAUAAUAAAAAUCGAUGUUCAAGCGUCUUCUGGAAACAUAUGGACCCAAAAUAUAACGAUGAAAGUAAAUUUAUUAAGUCGUGGAUUCUGGGCACGUCAUUUAUAGGCCGCUACUACACCGAGUUUGACAUGGACAAAGAACGAGUGGGAUUUGCUUUGGCAAAAAAUUUAUAGAAUUCAUCAAAACCUAUAGAAAGUUUUUCAUUGCCUUCUUUUAUUGAAAACUUUAUCAAUUUUUAAUAAUUUGCUCAAUAUUCUGCAGCAAAAAAAAUUUAAUUAUUUUUAAUCACCAACUGAUAAAGUUUGCGUAUUAUCAAUGUGAAUUUUUGCGUAAUAUGU